AGUAGUUUGAUCAGUGGCUCGAGGAGACGCUGGCGGCGUGCUUAACACAUGCAAGUCGAACGGUAAGGCCCUUCGGGAUACACGAGUGGCGAACGGGUGAGUAACACGUGGGUGAUCUGCCCUGCACUUCGGGAUAAGCUUGGGAAACUGGGUCUAAUACCGGAUAGGACCACGGUCUGCAUGGAUUGUGGUGGAAAGCUUUUGCGGUGUGGGAUGGGCCCGCGGCCUAUCAGCUUGUUGGUGGGGUGAUGGCCUACCAAGGCGACGACGGGUAGCCGGCCUGAGAGGGUGUCCGGCCACACUGGGACUGAGAUACGGCCCAGACUCCUACGGGAGGCAGCAGUGGGGAAUAUUGCACAAUGGGCGCAAGCCUGAUGCAGCGACGCCGCGUGGGGGAUGACGGCCUUCGGGUUGUAAACCUCUUUCAGCAGGGACGAAGGGUGACUGACGGUACCUGUAGAAGAAGCACCGGCCAACUACGUG
rnacentral:rRNA from 1 species